ACUAAGCAUAAUCAGAUAUCAAGAUGGACCGAAUCCCCAAAUCAAGUAGGGUCAAAAUCCAAUAGACAAGAGAAUCAAGAACCAUAUUAAAAAUGGCUUCCUAGUUCGUACUUAACACGGACAAGUUCCAUAAUCCAAGACGAACUACAAAUCCAAAGUCAAGAUGGCAAAAGAUCCGAAUCAAGAGGCAUGCCAAGUGAGUGACUAAGCCACUGCCACAAGAAGGACAAAGUCCCAACAGGAAUGCAAAAUGAUCAAACAAUCCGUACGAAUGGGCGAUUUAGCAAAUUUCUUACAAGACUUGAUAUAAUCCGAAUAUAACAAUAUAAUUCGAAGACAAGAAAAAUAAAAUAUCAGGUUAUUUCAACAUAUUUCCAGCAAGCAAAAAGAGUACAAGUUUAUACACAAACCUUGGUGUUUUACCACAAAACAGUUCAAUCACAACUUGGGGACGUUCGAAUCGUCUAAGCCGUAAACAAACCAAAUCUGUCCACUUUCUCAAACACUUCCCCUUUGAUGUUUUUUUCAAGGGUUUAUAUACCUUAAAUACAUAAUCAAAUAUCUAAAUAAGUUCAGUGAUUUAACAAGUCAACUAAACAUGAUAUUGGUGAAAAUUACCCAAAAACGUUUGAAACAGAAAUUUUGGACAGUAUCACUGUUACGAGUUGUGACUCAGUUUU
rnacentral:lncRNA from 1 species